AUGAUAGAGGAUACAAUGACUUUGCUGUCUCUGCUGGGUCGGAUCAUGCGUUACUUCUUGCUUAGACCGGAGACCCUGUUCUUGCUGUGCAUCAGCCUGGCUCUGUGGAGUUAUUUCUUCCACACGGAUGAGGUGAAAACCAUUGUUAAGUCCAGCAGGGAUGCGGUGAAGAUGGUGAAGGGCAAGGUGGCCGAGAUCAUGCAGAAUGACAGGCUCGGGGGGCUAGACGUGCUGGACGCAGAGUUCUCCAAGACCUGGGAGUUCAAGAGCCACAAUGUGGCUGUCUACUCCAUCCAAGGCCGGAGGGCUCACAUGGAGGACAGGUUCGAAGUAAUCACUGACCUGGUGAACAAGACUCACCCCUCCAUCUUCGGGAUAUUUGAUGGGCACGGAGGAGAGGCAAGUGCUCAGCUGGAAAAAAAAAAAGGGGUGGGGUGGGGUGGUGGGAGAGGAUGGUCACAGGGUGUUCUCGCCCACCAG